UACAGAGGGGGGCAAGCGUUAUUCGGAAUUAUUGGGGCGUAAAGGGCGCGUAGGCGGCCGGACAAGUGGAAGGUGAAAAUCCCCCGAGCUCAACUCGGGGAACUGCCCUCCAAACUGUUUGGCUUGAGUCCGGGAGAGGUGAGUGGAAUUCCCAGUGUAGAGGUGAAAUUCGUAGAUAUUGGGAAGAACACCAGUGACGAAGGCGGCUCACUGGCUCGUAACUGACGCUCAGGCGCGACAGCGUGGGGAUCAAACAGG
rnacentral:rRNA from 1 species